UACAGAGGUGGCAAGCGUUGUUCGGAAUUACUGGGCGUAAAGGGCGCGUAGGCGGCCAUCUAAGUCAGACGUGAAAUCCCCCGGCUUAACCUGGGAACUGCGUCUGAUACUGGAAGGCUUGAGUAUGGGAGAGGGAUGUAGAAUUCCAGGUGUAGCGGUGAAAUGCGUAGAUAUCUGGAGGAAUACCGGUGGCGAAGGCGGGUUGCUGGGCCGACACUGACGCUGAUGCGCGAAAGCCAGGGGAGCGAACGGG
rnacentral:rRNA from 1 species